rnacentral:rRNA from 1 species
GGGUCAGUAGGUUGGUCGUGCCACCGGUACGUACUGGUCUCACUGAUUCCUCCUUCCUGAAGAACCGUAAUGCCAUUAAUUUGGUGUUGCGGGGAAACAGGACUGUUACUUUGAAAAAAUUAGAGUGUUUAGAGCAAGCUAACGCUCGGAUACAUUAGCAUGGAAUAAUGAAAUAGGACGAUCGAUCCUAUUUUGUUGGUUUCUAGGAUUGACGUA